GCCCAGAAAUCAUAAAAUAAGAUUAUUUGCAGCUGACUUUAGAGUUCGGAUAUAAAGAUUAAGGAGACAAGAAAGCUUGGUGCUUGGUGAUAUAAAACCUCAACAAGUAGUAUCCAUGCACAAGUAGCAGAAACUACAUGAAGUAUCUGGCAAUAUGCAAAUUCAUAUCUUCAUUCGUUACAAGGGCACUGAUGCCGCUAUAUAUCCACCCUACUUACACUCCAAGGGAGAUGAUUUACAUGCAUUGACAAGACAUGGCCACUGGCAGCAUGCUACUUUAAUUCAUUAUGCCUUUGAUGAUGUGAAGUUAAAGUUUGAGCGUACUAUGUAAAGAAGACAGUAAAUAUGUUUA